CGGCGGACGGGUGAGUAACGCGUGGGUAACCUGCCUCAUACAGGGGGAUAACAGUUGGAAACGGCUGCUAAUACCGCAUAAGCGCACAGUACCGCAUGGUACGGUGUGAAAAACUCCGGUGGUAUGAGAUGGACCCGCGUCUGAUUAGGUAGUUGGUGGGGUAACGGCUUACCAGGGCGACGAUCAGUAGCCGACCUGAGAGGGUGACCGGCCACAUUGGGACUGAGACACGGCCCAA
rnacentral:rRNA from 1 species